CCGUACACAAAAGCGCAUGUGCUGUGAGCUCGAUGAGUAGGGCGGGACACGUGGUAUCCUGUCUGAAUAUGGGGGGACCAUCCUCCAAGGCUAAAUACUCCUGACUGACCGAUAGUGAACCAGUACCGUGAGGGAAAGGCGAAAAGAACCCCGGCGAGGGGAGUGAAAAAGAACCUGAAACCGUGUACGUACAAGCAGUGGGAGCACAGGUUUACCUGUGUGACUGCGUACCUUUUGUAUAAUGGGUCAGCGACUUAUAUUCUGUAGCAAGGUUAACCGUAUAGGGGAGCCGGAGGGAAACCGAGUCUUAAUUGGGCGUUAAGUUGCAGGGUAUAGACCCGAAACCCGGUGAUCUAGCCAUGGGCAGGUUGAAGGUUGGGUAACACUAACUGGAGGACCGAACCGACUAAUGUUGAAAAAUUAGCGGAUGAUCUGUGGCUGGGGGUGAAAGGCCAAUCAAACCGGGAGAUAGCUGGUUCUCCCCGAAAGCUAUUUAGGUAGCGCCUCGUGAAUUCAUCUCCGGGGGUAGAGCACUGUUUCGGCUAGGGGGCCAUCCCGGCUUACCAACCCGAUGCAAACUGCGAAUACCGGAGAAUGUUAUCACGGGAGACACACGGCGGGUGCUAACGUCCGUCGUGAAGAGGGAAACAACCCAGACCGCCAGCUAAGGUCCCAAAGUCAUGGUUAAGUGGGAAACGAUGUGGGAAGGCCCAGACAGCCAGGAUGUUGGCUUAGAAGCAGCCAUCAUUUAAAGAAAGCGUAAUAGCUCACUGGUCGAGUCGGCCUGCGCGGAAGAUGUAACGGGGCUAAACCAUGCACCGAAGCUGCGGCAGCGAACGUAUCACCCAAGACAACUUUACGGAGUUGACGAUUGACGGAGCGAAGCGACGUCAAAGCGUUCAUUAAAGUCGAGUUGGCUUAGGGAUACGUUCGUUGGGUAGGGGAGCGUUCUGUAAGCCUGUGAAGGUGUGUCGUGAGGCAUGCUGGAGGUAUCAGAAGUGCGAAUGCUGACAUAAGUAACGAUAAAGCGGGUGAAAAGCCCGCUCGCCGGAAGACCAAGGGUUCCUGUCCAACGUUAAUCGGGGCAGGGUGAGUCGACCCCUAAGGCGAGGCCGAAAGGCGUAGUCGAUGGGAAACGGGUUAAUAUUCCCGUACUUGGUGUUACUGCGAAGGGGGGACGGAGAAGGCUAUGUUGGCCGGGCGACGGUUGUCCCGGUUUAAGCGUGUAGGUGUGUGUUCCAGGUAAAUCCGGUUCACUUUAACACUGAGGCGUGACGACGAGGCACUACGGUGCUGAAGCAACAAAUGCCCUGCUUCCAGGAAAAGCCUCUAAGCAUCAGGUAACAUCAAAUCGUACCCCAAACCGACACAGGUGGUCAGGUAGAGAAUACCAAGGCGCUUGAGAGAACUCGGGUGAAGGAACUAGGCAAAAUGGUGCCGUAACUUCGGGAGAAGGCACGCUGACACGUAGGUGAAGUGAUUUACUCAUGGAGCUGAAGUCAGUCGAAGAUACCAGCUGGCUGCAACUGUUUAUUAAAAACACAGCACUGUGCAAACACGAAAGUGGACGUAUACGGUGUGACGCCUGCCCGGUGCCGGAAGGUUAAUUGAUGGGGUCAGCGCAAGCGAAGCUCCUGAUCGAAGCCCCGGUAAACGGCGGCCGUAACUAUAACGGUCCUAAGGUAGCGAAAUUCCUUGUCGGGUAAGUUCCGACCUGCACGAAUGGCGUAAUGAUGGCCAGGCUGUCUCCACCCGAGACUCAGUGAAAUUGAACUCGCUGUGAAGAUGCAGUGUACCCGCGGCAAGACGGAAAGACCCCGUGAACCUUUACUAUAGCUUGACACUGAACAUUGAGCCUUGAUGUGUAGGAUAGGUGGGAGGCUUUGAAGUGUGGACGCCAGUCUGCAUGGAGCCGACCUUGAAAUACCACCCUUUAAUGUUUGAUGUUCUAACGUGGACCCGUAAUCCGGGUUGCGGACAGUGUCUGGUGGGUAGUUUGACUGGGGCGGUCUCCUCCUAAAGAGUAACGGAGGAGCACGAAGGUUGGCUAAUCCUGGUCGGACAUCAGGAGGUUAGUGCAAUGGCAUAAGCCAGCUUGACUGCGAGCGUGACGGCGCGAGCAGGUGCGAAAGCAGGUCAUAGUGAUCCGGUGGUUCUGAAUGGAAGGGCCAUCGCUCAACGGAUAAAAGGUACUCCGGGGAUAACAGGCUGAUACCGCCCAAGAGUUCAUAUCGACGGCGGUGUUUGGCACCUCGAUGUCGGCUCAUCACAUCCUGGGGCUGAAGUAGGUCCCAAGGGUAUGGCUGUUCGCCAUUUAAAGUGGUACGCGAGCUGGGUUUAGAACGUCGUGAGACAGUUCGGUCCCUAUCUGCCGUGGGCGCUGGAGAACUGAGGGGGGCUGCUCCUAGUACGAGAGGACCGGAGUGGACGCAUCACUGGUGUUCGGGUUGUCAUGCCAAUGGCACUGCCCGGUAGCUAAAUGCGGAAGAGAUAAGUGCUGAAAGCAUCUAAGCACGAAACUUGCCCCGAGAUGAGUUCUCCCUGAGACUUAGAGUCUCCUGAAGGAACGUUGAA
rnacentral:rRNA from 1 species